UACAGAGGUGGCAAGCGUUGUUCGGAAUUACUGGGCGUAAAGGGCGCGUAGGCGGCCUACUAAGUCAGACGUGAAAUCCCCCGGCUUAACCGGGGAACUGCGUCUGAUACUGGAUGGCUUGAGAUUGGGAGAGGGAUGCGGAAUUCCAGGUGUAGCGGUGAAAUGCGUAGAUAUCUGGAGGAACACCGGUGGCGAAGGCGGCAUCCUGGACCAACACUGACGCUGAGGAGCGAAAGCCAGGGGAGCAAACGGG
rnacentral:rRNA from 1 species